rnacentral:tRNA from 1 species
GCCCAAGUGGCGUAAUGGCAGCCGCGGCAGACUCAAAAUCUGUUGGUAGUGAUACCGUGUCGGUUCGAGUCCGACCUUGGGCA